rnacentral:misc_RNA from 1 species
UUUCCGUAGGUGAACCUGCGGAAUGAUCAUUAUUGAAUUUUAAUGAGGAGUUGGUUUUUGCUGGCCUUGGGAUUAUUUUAAUUAAUCGUUCCAGUCACUUGUGCACACCUUCUCUUUCAUCCACACACACCUGUGCACUUGUGAGACAGACUGUGGGGACUUUAUUGAACCCCGUCUGUCUACUUAAUUUACACACACUCUAUUUAAUUUAAACUGAAUGUAAUUGAUGUAACGCAUCUAAUACUAAGUUUCAACAACGGAUCUCUUGGCUCUCGCAUCGAUGAAGAACGCAGC